UACGUGGGGGGGCAAGCGUUGUCCGGAUUUAUUGGGCGUAAAGAGCUCGUCGGCGGUUCCGUAAGUCGUGAAGUCAAAUCUCUGGGCUCAACCCAGAAUCGCUUCCGAUACUGCGGUGACUGGAGUCCGGUAGGGGAGUGUGGAAUUCCUGGUGUAGCGGUGAAAUGCGCAGAUAUCAGGAGGAACACCAACAGCGAAGGCAGCACUCUGGGCCGGUACUGACGCUGAGGAGCGAAAGCAUGGGGAGCGAACAGG
rnacentral:rRNA from 1 species